GUCUUUUUGGAGACAUCCAAUAAAAUUGAAACAAUAUAGAAAAGAUUAGCAUGGACCCUUCGCAAGGCCAACACGCACAAAUCAAGAAAUGGUCCAAUUUUUA